rnacentral:rRNA from 1 species
UACAGAGGAUGCAAGCGUUAUCCGGAAUGAUUGGGCGUAAAGCGUCUGUAGGUGGCUUUUUAAGUCCGCCGUCAAAUCCCAGGGCUCAACUCUGGACAGGCGGUGGAAACUACCAAGCUGGAGUACGGUAGGGGCAGAGGGAAUUUCCGGUGGAGCGGUGAAAUGCGUAGAGAUCGGAAAGAACACCAACGGCGAAAGCGCUCUGCUGGGCCGACACUGACACUGAGGAGCGAAAGCGUGGGGAGCGAACAGG